rnacentral:rRNA from 1 species
UAGUAGCGGCGAGCGAAACGGGAAGAGCCCAAACCAACAAGCUUGCUUGUUGGGGUUGUAGGACACUCUAUACGGAGUUACAAAGGACGACAUUAGACGAAUCAUCUGGAAAGAUGAAUCAAAGAAGGUAAUAAUCCUGUAGUCGAAAAUGUUGUCUCUCUUGAGUGGAUCCUGAGUACGACGGAGCACGUGAAAUUCCGUCGGAAUCUGGGAGGACCAUCUCCUAAGGCUAAAUACUCUCUAGUGACCGAUAGUGAACCAGUACCGUGAGGGAAAGGUGAAAAGCACCCCGGAAGGGGAGUGAAAUAGAACCUGAAACCGUGUGCUUACAAGUAGUCAGAGCCCGUUAAUGGGUGAUGGCGUGCCUUUUGUAGAAUGAACCGGCGAGUUACGAUUUGAUGCAAGGUUAAGCAGUAAAUGUGGAGCCGUAGCGAAAGCGAGUCUGAAUAGGGCGUUUAGUAUUUGGUCGUAGACCCGAAACCAGGUGAUCUACCCUUGGUCAGGUUGAAGUUCAGGUAACACUGAAUGGAGGACCGAACCGACUUACGUUGAAAAGUGAGCGGAUGAACUGAGGGUAGCGGAGAAAUUCCAAUCGAACCUGGAGAUAGCUGGUUCUCUCCGAAAUAGCUUUAGGGCUAGCCUCAAGUGAUGAUUAUUGGAGGUAGAGCACUGUUUGGACGAGGGGCCCCUCUCGGGUUACCGAAUUCAGACAAACUCCGAAUGCCAAUUAAUUUAACUUGGGAGUCAGAACAUGGGUGAUAAGGUCCGUGUUCGAAAGGGAAACAGCCCAGACCACCAGCUAAGGUCCCAAAAUAUAUGUUAAGUGGAAAAGGAUGUGGCGUUGCCCAGACAACUAGGAUGUUGGCUUAGAAGCAGCCAUCAUUUAAAGAGUGCGUAAUAGCUCACUAGUCGAGUGACACUGCGCCGAAAAUGUACCGGGGCUAAACAUAUUACCGAAGCUGUGGAUUGUCCUUUGGACAAUGGUAGGAGAGCGUUCUAAGGGCGUUGAAGCAUGAUCGUAAGAACAUGUGGAGCGCUUAGAAGUGAGAAUGCCGGUGUGAGUAGCGAAAGACGGGUGAGAAUCCCGUCCACCGAUUGACUAAGGUUUCCAGAGGAAGGCUCGUCCGCUCUGGGUUAGUCGGGUCCUAAGCUGAGGCCGACAGGCGUAGGCGAUGGAUAACAGGUUGAUAUUCCUGUACCACCUAUAAUCGUUUUAAUCGAUGGGGGGACGCAGUAGGAUAGGCGAAGCGUGCGAUUGGAUUGCACGUCUAAGCAGUAAGGCUGAGU